UGGGGAAUAUUGGACAAUGGGCGCAAGCCUGAUCCAGCCAUGCCGCGUGAGUGAUGAAGGCCUUAGGGUUGUAAAGCUCUUUCACCGGAGAAGAUAAUGACGGUAUCCGCAGAAGAAGCCCCGGCUAACUCCGUGCCAGCAGCCGCGGUAAUACGGAGGGGGCUAGCGUUGUUCGGAAUUACUGGGCGUAAAGCGCACGUAGGCGGAUUAGAAAGUCAGAGGUGAAAUCCCAGGGCUCAACCUUGGACC
rnacentral:rRNA from 1 species